GGACUAAUGGCUUAGUGGUUGAGCGUAUGAUGUCAAGAUGUCUCCGUAUGUGCUGUGUUUUCAUGUUCACAGCGCAUGCGGAGACUUCGCUCUAUCGUAAGGUCCCGGUUCGACCCCGGGUUAGUCCU